ensembl:snRNA
AUGCCAUAUGAAAUGAGAGAAAGUUAGCACUCCUCUUGACAAAGGUGGAAGUGGACCUUGGGCCUUAUAGCAUGCCACCUGCUAUAGCAUUGCCACCUACAUUGUGGCAUCAAACCACUGUUUUAA